GAUGAACGCUAGCUACAGGCUUAACACAUGCAAGUCGAGGGGUAACGAGAGGAAAGCUUGCUUUCCUUGUCGACGACCGGCGCACGGGUGAGUAACGCGUAUCCAACCUGCCCCCAACUAGGGAAUAACCUUGCGAAAGUAAGACUAAUACCCUAUAAUUUCCUCAGAUGUCAUCUGACGAGGAAUAAAGAUUUAUCGGUUGUGGAUGGGGAUGCGUCUGAUUAGCUUGUUGGCGGGGUAACGGCCCACCAAGGCAACGAUCAGUAGGGGUUUUAAGAGGAAGGUCCCCCACAUUGGAACUGAGACACGGUCCAAACUCCUACGGGAGGCAGCAGUGAGGAAUAUUGGUCAAUGGGCGGAAGCCUGAACCAGCCAAGUAGCGUGCAGGAGGACGGCCCUAUGGGUUGUAAACUGCUUUUAUACAGGAAUAAAGUUAGCCACGUGUGGUUAUUUGUAGGUACUGUAUGAAUAAGGACCGGCUAAUUCCGUGCCAGCCGCCGCCGUAA
rnacentral:rRNA from 1 species